AUGGCCUGCCGGGGCUGUGAACACAUUGCAGUGCCCGAGGGCAGCAGCGUGGGCAACCUGUGCUCUCCUCACAUGAGUGAGCGGCGCGCGGUCCAGGGAUCUGAGCUGGCACGCUCAGCCAAACAGGUGUAUGAUGGGAAGAUGCGGGCUGUGAAGGGUGAAUUUUCUUACGUGGAGAAGCAGACCUCUGGUCACAUUCAGACACUGGACGGAAAGAGGAGAGGCAUUUAGUCCUGAUGGUUGAGAUAUGAGAGCUUGAAUAUUGCAUGACCUACAAGGAGAAGCCAAAGACGGUUUGAGUGCGAGGGAAGGAGGGGUGGAUGGAUGGAUGGAG
rnacentral:lncRNA from 1 species